GUGCAGCCGCCGCGUUAAUACCGGCAGCCCGAGUGAUGGCCGAUAUUAUUGGGCCUAAAGCGUCCGUAGCUGGCCGCACAAGUCCGUCGGGAAAUCCACGUGCUUAACACGUGGGCGACCGGCGGAAACUGUUCGGCUUGGGGCCGGAGGACCCGAGGGGUACGUCCGGGGUAGGAGUGAAAUCCUGUAAUCCUGGACGGACCGCCGGUGGCGAAAGCACUCUGAGAAGACGGCUUCGACAGUGAGGGACGAAAGCUCGAGUCUCAAACCGGAUUAGAUACCCGAGUAGUCC
rnacentral:rRNA from 1 species